rnacentral:lncRNA from 1 species
CACUACCCAUGACCCCUCAUAUCCAUCACCUGUUCAUUCAUUCAUCUCGAUCCCUAGCUAGAUCGCAGUUUCGCUAGCUCUUAGCUAAUUAAUCGUCCAUCAAACUUGGCGUGUGAUUGAUUGGGUGAUCAUUUUGGUCCUGGGAAUUAAGAUAGGUGUUUUGUUGAUUGGUUUCUUUGAUUUGAUUUGAUUGGGAGUAGCUAGCUUAAUUAGCUAGCUGAGAGAGGAGAGGAGGUAGAAGGUAGCUUGGUAGGGG